UGGGUCACACUCCGAUCAUGUGACGCUGAGAGUAUUCCAGUUCCUGAGCUAAAAAUAAGUUGAUGACACUGUGUUCCGUUAACGAGUACAUGAUCUUAUCAGAGGACUCCGGGCUUUGAUCUGGAGUUCAUUCGCUUAAAAUCUUCAUAAUUAGUCUUCCUUGGGAACUCUGCACUGCCUUUCUCCGUCCUUAUUUGUUUCCUGUUGAACGAUCAACAGCUCCAACUUGCAAAUGGGUUAUGUCCCAUAGUUCACGUUCAAGUCUGUUGUUUGGAAUUUGGAACAGAUUUCUCCAGACAAACAAGUAUGGGCUGCCAAAGCAAGCACCCAGAAGAAGAAAUUCUGCCAUAAGACUACAGCAUUAAUCCCUGCCUGAGUUUCCAGCCUGCUGGCCUGUCCUUUGAAUUUCAGAUUUGCCAGCCCCUACAACCAGGAAGCCCAGCCCCUGACGGCUGACCCAUUCUGACGCUGACCUCAGCUCGCCUGUGACCGGGCAGCCACCAGGCCACCAGCCACAAGCGAGGAAGGUGGGCUCGUUCCCAAACGAUUUCCAGCUGGCCCCGACCUCCCUCUCCACAGGACGGACGCCUGACAUUCGAAGACUCAGUCCUGGAAUCGUAAGACUGUUCCUAGUCCACAAUAGAUGACCAGUGAUUGUCCCUCGCCUCGGACAGAUUCCGGAGUCAUUCAUGGAUUCCUAGAAAGUAGCGGGCCGCCUGUGCAUGCAAUGAAGCCAAGUAAAUGCAAAGGUAAUGCAGACGGGCUCACCGGAGAUGUUGCAGGACAGCCUUGGGCAUAGAGCCUGGGGACGGGGCGGGCACCGGCCGGGACAGCUUCGGUUCUCUGGCUCGGCUUGAGGGGCUCUGCUCCCCAUGGUUACUGUAUUGGAGUGCAGAUCCUUGGGCAGCAUGCAGCAGAUGUGAGCACAGUGUCUCAGUCAUGAAAUCAGCCUCUCCUCGGGACGGCGGAGGUCGUGCAUUCUUGCUGCAAUGCUCCUUUCAGAGCAGGGCGGGCUGUGACCCCAUCAGGACACUCACAGAGUGUCCUUGGAGCACGGGUCAGAGCUCCGAUUUUGUUUUCGCUCUCUCCCUUGGGCGCAGAGACCCGGAGAAGCCAGCUGUGGUGUCUGAUGUGAGUGACAAAUACGUUGCGUCUUCAAUAACCCACAUCACAGGAGCAUCACUCAGCUCGGGAGGCAGGCGAGCAGUCCCCUGGGCAUAAUUAGACGCGCGGUGGCGGUCUGAAUUCAGAACUUAGUGAGGUCUCAAAUGUCACCCACUCCCAACAUCACGGUAACCUGUGACGUGAUGGAGGAACCGCCCUGUGUUUUAGGAGGUACCCGGUCCGAAUGUCCCACUGAAAUGGCAGCAGUCUAGCUGAGAAUUUUAAGGGAAACCGUCUUUGGUUAGAUUUCAUCUGACACGAACAGUUCUGUUUGGGGCACAACACAGGGAUUCAAGAGUUGCACACAGGAAGCUACGCUCCCUGCCGUGCGUGUGGUCACCAUCUGUCACCAGCAUCACCUGCUGUCACUGUCCAUCCUGUGACUCUUUAUAACUGGAAGUUUGUGCCUCUCAAUCCCCUUCACCUACUUCGACCCUCCCCUCCGGAGACCUGUUUCCCUGUUUGUGUUUUAGGUUUCACAUGUAAGUGAAAUCUUUAAAUAAGCAAAAUGCUAAAUGAAACUGAUGUUUGCUUGUGAGUUAAGUCCUCUCUU